rnacentral:rRNA from 1 species
GUAGGCGCAGCGAAAGCGAGUCUGAAUAGGGCGAAUGAGUUUGUUGGAUUAGACCCGAAACCCGGCGAUCUAGGCAUGAGCAGGCUGAAGGUGCAGUAACAUGCACUGGAGGGCCGAACCGUUUAAUGUUGAAAAAUUAUCGGAUGACUUGUGUUUAGGGGUGAAAGGCCAAUCAAGCCGGGAAAUAGCUGGUUCUCCGCGAAAUC